rnacentral:rRNA from 1 species
AGAGUUUGAUCCUGGCUCAGAACGUACGCUGGCGGCACGCCUAACACAUGCAAGUCGAACGAAGUAGCAAUACUUAGUGGCAGACGGGUGAGUAACAUGUAGGUAUCUGCCCUUUGGCCUGGAAUAACACGAGGAAACUUGUGCUAAUACCGGAUAAGUCUUUACGGAGAAAGCUUUAUGCACCAUUGGAUGAGCCUGCACUUGAUUAGUUUGUUGGUGGGGUAAUGGCCUACCAAGACUGUGAUCAAUAGCUGAUUUGAGAGGAUGAUCAGCCACAUUGGGACUGAGACACGGCCCAAACUCCUACGGGAGGCAGCAGUGGGGAAUCUUGCACAAUGGAGGAAACUCUGAUGCAGCGAUGCCGCGUGAGUGAAGAAGGCCCUUGGGUUGUAAAGCUCUUUCGUCGGGGAAGAAAAUGACUGUACCCGAAUAAGAAGGUCCGGCUAACUUCGUGCCAGCAGCCGCGGUAAUACGAAGGGACCUAGCGUAGUUCGGAAUUACUGGGCUUAAAGAGUUCGUAGGUGGUUGAAAUAGUUGGUGGUGAAAUCCCAGAGCUUAACUCUGGAACUGCCAUCAAAACUUUUCAGCUAGAGUAUGAUAGAGGAAAGCAGAAUUUCUAGUGUAGAGGUGAAAUUCGUAGAUAUUAGAAAGAAUACCAAUUGCGAAGGCAGCUUUCUGGAUCAUUACUGACACUGAGGAACGAAAGCAUGGGUAGCGAAGAGGAUUAGAUACCCUCGUAGUCCAUGCCGUAAACGAUGUGUGUUAGACGUUGGAAAUUUAUUUUCAGUGUCGCAGGGAAACCGAUAAACACACCGCCUGGGGAGUACGACCGCAAGGUUAAAACUCAAAUGAAUUGACGGGGACCCGCACAAGUAGUGGAGCAUGUGGUUUAAUUCGAAGAUACGCGCAGAACCUUACCAACACUUGACAUGUUCGUCGCGACUCUAAGAGAUUAGAGUUUUCGGUUCGGCCGGACGAAACACAGGUGCUGCAUGGCUGUCGUCAGCUCGUGUCGUGAGAUGUUGGGUUAAGUCCCGCAACGAGCGCAACCCUCACUUUUAGUUGCCAUCAUUAAGUUGGGCACUCUGAAAGAACUGCCAGUGAUAAGCUGGAGGAAGGUGGGGAUGACGUCAAGUCCUCAUGGCCCUUACGUGUUGGGCUACACACGUGCUACAAUGG